ACCAAGUGUGUGUACUGGACAAUUUGGGCUGACGGCAGCUGCCAGCUCAUGCUUGGCUCUUCAUGGUGGACUGUCUCUUGUGCAGGUCAGCUUGUCCUGGCAGAUGCUGUUCAUGACAGUGCUUUCCUGCCUGGGCCUGGGGAGAGGCCCUCCUGGGAGAUUCCUCUUCUGGCUGAGCCUGUACCUGGGCCUGUGUGCAGGUAAGGAAGAAAAACCACCUACAAGGACUCCUCAAACUCACAAUGAACAUAGACUGUUCUCAUAGGGCUUUGCCAUGCCUGGAGUUCUUCAACCCAGGAAAAGGGGCUACAAGACUUUGACGUUCCACUCAGAGGUCCAGGGAUUUUGGUGGGAGAGAUGACAUAAGGACU
rnacentral:lncRNA from 1 species